CCUACGGGAGGCAGCAGUGGGGAAUUUUGGACAAUGGGCGAAAGCCUGAUCCAGCAAUGCCGCGUGAGUGAAGAAGGCCUUCGGGUUGUAAAGCUCUUUUGUCAGGGAAGAAACGGUGCGGGCUAAUAUCCUGCACUAAUGACGGUACCUGAAGAAUAAGCACCGGCUAACUACGUGCCAGCAGCCGCGGUAAUACGUAGGGUGCAAGCGUUAAUCGGAAUUACUGGGCGUAAAGCGUGCGCAGGCGGUUUUGUAAGUCUGUCGUGAAAUCCCCGGGCUCAACCUGGGAAUUGCGAUGGAGACUGCAAGGCUAGAAUCUGGCAGAGGGGGGUAGAAUUCCACGUGUAGCAGUGAAAUGCGUAGAGAUGUGGAGGAACACCGAUGGCGAAGGCAGCCCCCUGGGUCAAGAUUGACGCUCAUGCACGAAAGCGUGGGGAGCAAACAGGAUUAGAUACCCUGGUAGUCCACGCCCUAAACGAUGUCUACUAGUUGUCGGGUUUUAAUUAACUUGGUAACGCAGCUAACGCGUGAAGUAGACCGCCUGGGGAGUACGGUCGCAAGAUUAAAACUCAAAGUGAAUUGACGG
rnacentral:rRNA from 1 species